rnacentral:lncRNA from 1 species
CCUCAAUUUUUUUUUUUUUUUUUUUUUUUUUUUUACUAACUUAGUCUUCUCCUCUCCUCUGUCUACCCUUAGCAAUAUAUAGGUAAACAUAUCCAGCUUGUCUAACACAUCACAGAUUAUUAGUUAACAAGGUGUAGAUUAAUGAGCUUAUAUUGUAUUGCUGGAUCUUUUGAGUUAAUAACAAUGGUAACUUGUCCAGAAGGCCUAUCAUCAUUCCUAGUAGGUGGGCACAGAGUAAGAGAUAUUAAGAAGCUUCCUGAUGAGUCAUCAUCUAGCGAAGGCCCUGUGUAGGGCUUUAUUAUAGGAGUUACAUUGACUUCUGGGGCAUUCAAAGGUCUCCCCUCUUAUCCAUAUCUCUGUCAUUUUGCUUCUCCAGCCACGACAACACACUUUCCUCUCCAACUGCUCCCUCCCCACCAAAAAAGAAGACCCUCUAAAAGGCAAAGGAAUAAAUAUUCUUAGAAGUAAAUUAUCUUCAUCCCAUGCUGCCUUUUUCAAAGAGGUGUUAGGAUAUUUAUCCUAUUUCUGUAUUUCACAGUAGCUUUUCAGGCUGUCCUGCUUAUAUAUAAGCUGAUUUAUAUUGAGAAAAAUCACUUUUGAAUAAAGAGGAUGAAAUGACUUUACACCCCAUUAAAUACUCAGUCAAGCUUAGCCAUGACUCAGUAACUAAAAAGUUCAAAAAAUCCAGUUAUGUAAUGUGCAGAGUAACAAAUUGCAAGAAAAACAACUUAAUCUUCCAGUGACUAAGUAAGAAAAACUGUUGUCACUAUUAAACAUGUAGGAAAUUGAUAAUUAUUACAAACAAAGCAAUACUCUACCCUAAAUCUAGACAAAUCACUGGACAGAUGAUAAGAUUUUCAGCUUUCUCCUUUAAAGAGCUGUGCCAAUGUACAGAUUUUUUUGUAAACAUGCAAAGGGAAGGUUACAAACUCCUUAAACUUUAAAAAACCAUAAAUCCUUUCUUUGCUACUUAUAUUCUAUGCCAAUUAUAAUAUUCCAAGACUUACCUUUCUUCAGAAUGCUUACAUAUGGAAAGGUUUAUUUAUAAAUAUUUGAUAGGUAAAUAUUCCAUAUGUAUUUUCUAGCCCGUCUUUCUCUGUCCCUCCCUCAAAUAACUUCAUUACCCUCUCCUUUUUAAACGAAAUAUCUUGAUAAUAAGAAAACAAAAUCAUUUUUUUGUGAAAUAAUACAUAUGGACAAAAAAUACAAGUUGUAUUUUACUUCUGGUUCAUUAAAAUAUUGUGUUUAGUUGGAUUUUUUCCUCCUUUAUUUUCAGAAACAUAAAAGAAAUUGUUUUAUUUCCUAAAGGAUAAAAUUGGAUAUAGCCUCUUUAGUAGACACUAUCACAGUUCUGUUGUUUGCUGUGUUCAUUUGCUUAAUGAAUUGCGUGAGAACAGUCACUGUAAUGAAAUAUGUGUGCUGGGGGUGGGGGGAAGGGCAUGGGAAAUGUUUUAUGAAAAAAAGUUAUAAGCCUAAUACUAUGAAGUAACAUCUAAUGCAGUUCUUUUUAAGUGCAAUAUAUUUAUUUCUGCUAGAAAUAUAUUAUCAACCUUAUGUAAUAUUUGAAGCAUUACAUAUUAUUUGUAAACAGCUUAAAAUUAUAUAUUACCCCAAUUGUACAUAAGUACAAAUGUGUGGAUAUUAGUUUCUUUCAUUAAAAGUGGUGUUUUUUUAAAAAUACAUUUGCACCCAUUUACACCUUUCAUUCACUGA